UGAAAUAGGGCGUUAAAAGAUGUAGGUAUAUUUUCUAUAGGCAAAUCCGUAGAGAAUGCUGAAGUCCAACAGUACCAGGAGGCUCCGGCCGAAUGGAUAGAGAAUGUAAGCAGACUUCCGAGAAAAUCUUCUAAGCAUAUUGAUACGGUACCCGUACCGCAAACCGACACAGGUAGUCAAGGAGAGAAUCCUGAGGUGCUCGAGUGAGUCAUGGCUAAGGAACUAGGCAAAUUAAACCUGUAACUUCGGGAAAAGGGUUGCCUCUCUUUAGCAAUAAAGAAGGUCGCAGAGAAAUGGCCCAGGCGACUGUUUAACAAAAACACAUGGCUAUGCGAAAUCGUAAGAUGAAGUAUAUGGCCUGACACCUGCCCGGUGCUGGAAGGUUAAGGGGGGAAGUUAGUCGCAAGGCGAAGCUUUGUACUGAAGCCCCAGUAAACGUCGGCCGUAACUAUAACGGUCCUAAGGUAGCGAAAUUCCUUGUCGGGUAAGUUCCGACCUGCACGAAUGGUGUAACGAUCUGGGCACUGUCUCAGCCAUGAGCUCGGUGAAAUUGUAGUCACGGUGAAGAUGCCGUGUACCCGUCACGGGACGGAAAGACCCCAUGCACCUUUACUAUAGCUUCGCAUUGACAUUGGGUAGAUGAUGUGUAGGAUAGGUGGGAGGCGUUGAUCCUGUGCCGCUAGGUAUAGGGGAGCCAACGGUGAAAUACCACCCUUUAUUUAUCUGAUGUCUAAUCCGCAAGACCUGCGGAGACAGUGCGUGGUGGGUAGUUUGACUGGGGGUGUCGCCUCCGAAAGUGUAUCGGAGGCUUUCAAAGGUAUGCUCAAUACGCUUGGUAACCGUAUGUGGAGUGCAAUAGCAUAAGCAUGCUUGACUGUGAGACUGACAAGUCGAGCAGGGUCGAAAGACGGAUAUAGUGAUCCGGUGGUUCUGUAUGGAAGGGCCAUCGCUCAAAGGAUAAAAGGUACGCUGGGAUAACAGGCUGAUCUCCCCCAAGAGCUCACAUCGACGGGGAGGUUUGGCACCUCGAUGUCGGCUCGUCACAUCCUGGGGCUGGAGAAGGUCCCAAGGGUUAGGCUGUUCGCCUAUUAAAGUGGCACGCGAGCUGGGUUCAGAACGUCGUGAGACAGUUCGGUCCCUAUCUGUGAUGGGCGUAGGAAGUUUGAGAGGAUCUGACCUUAGUACGAGAGGACCGGGUUGGACCAACCGCUGGUGUACCGGUUGUGGCGUCAGCUGCAUCGCCGGGUAGCUACGUUGGGACGAGAUAAGCGCUGAAAGCAUCUAAGCGCGAAACUCACCUCAAGAUGAGACUUCCAUUAAGGGACGUCAGAGACUAUGACGUUGAUAGGCUGCAGGUGUAAAGGCAGAAAUGUCAAAGCUGAGCAGUACUAAUUACCCAA
rnacentral:rRNA from 1 species